UACGGGGGGAGCAAGCGUUGUUCGGAUUUACUGGGCGUAAAGGGCGCGUAGGCGGCCACUGCAAGUCGGUUGUGAAAUCUCCGGGCUUAACCCGGAAAGGUCAACCGAUACUGCAGGGCUAGAGUGCAGAAGGGGCAACUGGAAUUCUCGAUGUAGCGGUGAAAUGCGUAGAUAUCGAGAGGAACACCUGCGGCGAAGGCGGGUUGCUGGGCUGACACUGACGCUGAUGCGCGAAAGCUAGGGGAGCGAACGGG
rnacentral:rRNA from 1 species